AUGGGGUGACGCAGAAGGAUAGUGACGCGAGCUGAUGGAUGCUCGUCCAAGCAGUGAGGCUGGUGUGCAGGCAAAUCCGCACACCGUAAGGCUGGGCUGUGAUGGGGAGGGAAAUUUUAGUACCGAAGGUCAUGAGUUCAGGCUGCCAAGAAAAGCCUCUAGCCAGGGAGAAGGUGCCCGUACCGCAAACCGACACAGGUAGGCGAGCAGAGCAUGCUAAGGCGCUCGGAAGAACUCUCGUUAAG
rnacentral:rRNA from 1 species